rnacentral:lncRNA from 1 species
CCCUGGCAGAGCUGGACUGAGGUCUUUUUGGAAGGCUGCCUGUGCUUGACUUGCCUUCUCAAAGUCUCAGAUAUAGCUUCAUUUCAACCCCUGUCUUCUCACUGUGCCUGCACAUUUUACAAGAGCUACCCUGAGUAAAUUGAAAGAAAUACAAUACUGGCCU